UAUUGUGAGUAUUUGUUGAAGAUUAUUACUUGUUUCACCAGUUCUUUAUCCGUUGAAGGUCAACAGGUGUUUCAAGCGAUCUGUAUUAUACUUUUCAUGGAAAACAGUUUAAUUUAUAUAAAUUACAACUCUGAUUAACUCCUGUCUUAGUAAACAUUCAAAAACGGCCUAAAAAUGUGUAUUUAUAACAAAUUAAUUUCGACAGUAUUUUUAAACUAUGGAACGCCAUUAUCACUUUAAUUAUGACGAAUUACGUUAAAUAAAUUCUGAAUACUUUAAUCAUGUUUUAUUGUUAAAUGUGUAUUCAAGGUUGUUUUUUUGUAUUGUUUAAUAGUUUUUUAAAAUUGUUUUACAUAGAUAAUGUAUUUAAUGUUAUUAUUAUUUCAGGGGUACCGCUUUGAGGUAGUAUUCAUUGAUGUAUGCUUGAUUUUGAAAAUUAAAAAAAAUCCAGUAAACUAUAUGUACACUAAAUGAAUUUCAUCAACACACCAGAGCCAAUGGGUAUGCCCGAUCAUGUGUUCUGAGGACACUGUGAUGUAUACGAGUUAAAGAUGAACUCCUGUCGGAUUUGUUAACGGCUGUUUGAUGAUCAUACAAAGACAGUUAAAUGCAACGAAAAGGAAUGCAAUGGAAUAAAUGCUGCCAGUGAGAAAUAAAAUGACAGUUUAAAAGUUUAAUCGGAAUUAUAUAUUCACAUUGAGUGUAGAAAGAUGUACUGUAACCCACAUUACACUAAAAGAGACACUAAGACAGAAAAAGAAAACACUGAUGCCACCAUUGAGAUCAAUGACUGAUAAGUUUUCAUACAAAAAAGAUUGUUUAUAUUGUGGUCAAUCUGUAAUAAGUAAGGGUAAAACAAGGAAGUGUGAUGUUUCGCCAGUAAGGACACUAGAACCUACUGUUUUGAAUAUAUGUAUACAGAGGAAUGACUGUUUGUCUGAUACAGUGAGAGCAAGGAUAGAACAGGUUCACAACUUGCUUAUAGCCGAUGCUCUUUACCAUCAAACAUGUUUAUGCUCCUCUAAUUUCAGAACUGGAAAAGAUAUACCAGAAGAAUUUCAGGUGCUACCAUCUAGUGAUAAAAAGUGAAAGAUUGGUCGACCAGAAAUUACAGAAGCGAGUGACGCUUUGUAAAAGUCAUGACAUUCUUGUGCUUAUGCUUAGCGAAGAUAUUUUACAAAUUAAAAUUUGCAAAUAUUUAUUUUUUUUACAUUUUAUGCUCAAAUGUAUCAAAUAUUUGAAAUUGACCUUCCAAAAGAAAAAAAAUACAACAGAUAUGCUUGGAAGUAUUCAAGUUAAUAUAAAACUCAAUAUUAUUAUCAUAGAUAAUAUAGAUUUCCUUAAUGUUUCUUUAUUUUGUAUAAAAUUACCCCACCCACUAGCUGUACAAUGUUAAUAUAAAUAUUUCAAUAUAUGCAUUAAAUAUUGAUGGAAUGUAAAUUAAAUUCAUAAAACGUUGAAACUUGACAGUUUUCACAUGUACGUAAACCAUUAUGUAUUUUCUGUUUAAUAUCAUAUAACAUAAAGCUUUCAAUAAAUUGUUGAUCUACAACAAUGUAAAAAUAUAAUAUUACCCCACCCACUUAAGUUAAUUAAUAAAUUUUAGAAAGGUAAAAGUAGUUUCUUUAAACAAAAACAACUUUUCGAUUACUUUAUGUUACUAUAAGGAUAUAUU